rnacentral:rRNA from 1 species
GGGUUGUGAGGUUAAGCGACUAAGCGUACACGGUGGAUGCCCUGGCAGUCAGAGGCGAUGAAGGACGUGCUAAUCUGCGAUAAGCGUCGGUAAGGUGAUAUGAACCGUUAUAACCGGCGAUUUCCGAAUGGGAAACCCAGUGUGUUUCGACACACUAUCAUUAACUGAAUCCAUAGGUUAAUGAGGCGAACCGGGGGAACUGAAACAUCUAAGUACCCCGAGGAAAAGAAAUCAACCGAGAUUCCCCCAGUAGCGGCGAGCGAACGGGGAGCAGCCCAGAGCCUGAAUCAGUGUGUGUGUUAGUGGAAGCGUCUGGAAAGGCGCGCGAUACAGGGUGACAGCCCCGUACACAAAAAUGCACAUGCUGUGAGCUCGAUGAGUAGGGCGGGACACGUGGUAUCCUGUCUGAAUAUGGGGGGACCAUCCUCCAAGGCUAAAUACUCCUGACUGACCGAUAGUGAACCAGUACCGUGAGGGAAAGGCGAAAAGAACCCCGGCGAGGGGAGUGAAAAAGAACCUGAAACCGUGUACGUACAAGCAGUGGGAGCACGCUUAGGCGUGUGACUGCGUACCUUUUGUAUAAUGGGUCAGCGACUUAUAUUCUGUAGCAAGGUUAACCGAAUAGGGGAGCCGAAGGGAAACCGAGUCUUAACUGGGCGUUAAGUUGCAGGGUAUAGACCCGAAACCCGGUGAUCUAGCCAUGGGCAGGUUGAAGGUUGGGUAACACUAACUGGAGGACCGAACCGACUAAUGUUGAAAAAUUAGCGGAUGACUUGUGGCUGGGGGUGAAAGGCCAAUCAAACCGGGAGAUAGCUGGUUCUCCCCGAAAGCUAUUUAGGUAGCGCCUCGUGAAUUCAUCUCCGGGGGUAGAGCACUGUUUCGGCAAGGGGGUCAUCCCGACUUACCAACCCGAUGCAAACUGCGAAUACCGGAGAAUGUUAUCACGGGAGACACACGGCGGGUGCUAACGUCCGUCGUGAAGAGGGAAACAACCCAGACCGCCAGCUAAGGUCCCAAAGUCAUGGUUAAGUGGGAAACGAUGUGGGAAGGCCCAGACAGCCAGGAUGUUGGCUUAGAAGCAGCCAUCAUUUAAAGAAAGCGUAAUAGCUCACUGGUCGAGUCGGCCUGCGCGGAAGAUGUAACGGGGCUAAACCAUGCACCGAAGCUGCGGCAGCGACACUAUGUGUUGUUGGGUAGGGGAGCGUUCUGUAAGCCUGUGAAGGUGUGCUGUGAGGCAUGCUGGAGGUAUCAGAAGUGCGAAUGCUGACAUAAGUAACGAUAAAGCGGGUGAAAAGCCCGCUCGCCGGAAGACCAAGGGUUCCUGUCCAACGUUAAUCGGGGCAGGGUGAGUCGACCCCUAAGGCGAGGCCGAAAGGCGUAGUCGAUGGGAAACAGGUUAAUAUUCCUGUACUUGGUGUUACUGCGAAGGGGGGACGGAGAAGGCUAUGUUGGCCGGGCGACGGUUGUCCCGGUUUAAGCGUGUAGGCUGGUUUUCCAGGCAAAUCCGGAAAAUCAAGGCUGAGGCGUGAUGACGAGGCACUACGGUGCUGAAGCAACGAAUGCCCUGCUUCCAGGAAAAGCCUCUAAGCAUCAGGUAACAUCAAAUCGUACCCCAAACCGACACAGGUGGUCAGGUAGAGAAUACCAAGGCGCUUGAGAGAACUCGGGUGAAGGAACUAGGCAAAAUGGUGCCGUAACUUCGGGAGAAGGCACGCUGAUAUGUAGGUGAAGCGACUUGCUCGUGGAGCUGAAAUCAGUCGAAGAUACCAGCUGGCUGCAACUGUUUAUUAAAAACACAGCACUGUGCAAACACGAAAGUGGACGUAUACGGUGUGACGCCUGCCCGGUGCCGGAAGGUUAAUUGAUGGGGUCAGCGCAAGCGAAGCUCUUGAUCGAAGCCCCGGUAAACGGCGGCCGUAACUAUAACGGUCCUAAGGUAGCGAAAUUCCUUGUCGGGUAAGUUCCGACCUGCACGAAUGGCGUAAUGAUGGCCAGGCUGUCUCCACCCGAGACUCAGUGAAAUUGAACUCGCUGUGAAGAUGCAGUGUACCCGCGGCAAGACGGAAAGACCCCGUGAACCUUUACUAUAGCUUGACACUGAACAUUGAGCCUUGAUGUGUAGGAUAGGUGGGAGGCUUUGAAGUGUGGACGCCAGUCUGCAUGGAGCCGACCUUGAAAUACCACCCUUUAAUGUUUGAUGUUCUAACGUUGACCCGUAAUCCGGGUUGCGGACAGUGUCUGGUGGGUAGUUUGACUGGGGCGGUCUCCUCCUAAAGAGUAACGGAGGAGCACGAAGGUUGGCUAAUCUGGUCGGACAUCAGGAGGUUAGUGCAAUGGCAUAAGCCAGCUUGACUGCGAGCGUGACGGCGCGAGCAGGUGCGAAAGCAGGUCAUAGUGAUCCGGUGGUUCUGAAUGGAAGGGCCAUCGCUCAACGGAUAAAAGGUACUCCGGGGAUAACAGGCUGAUACCGCCCAAGAGUUCAUAUCGACGGCGGUGUUUGGCACCUCGAUGUCGGCUCAUCACAUCCUGGGGCUGAAGUAGGUCCCAAGGGUAUGGCUGUUCGCCAUUUAAAGUGGUACGCGAGCUGGGUUUAGAACGUCGUGAGACAGUUCGGUCCCUAUCUGCCGUGGGCGCUGGAGAACUGAGGGGGGCUGCUCCUAGUACGAGAGGACCGGAGUGGACGCAUCACUGGUGUUCGGGUUGUCAUGCCAAUGGCACUGCCCGGUAGCUAAAUGCGGAAGAGAUAAGUGCUGAAAGCAUCUAAGCACGAAACUUGCCCCGAGAUGAGUUCUCCCUGACUCCUUGAGAGUCCUGAAGGAACGUUGAAGACGACGACGUUGAUAGGCCGGGUGUGUAAGCGCAGCGAUGCGUUGAGCUAACCGGUACUAAUGAACCGUGAGGCUUAACCUUACAACGCCGAAG